UACGUAGGCAGCGAGCGUUGUUCGGAGUUACUGGGCGUAAAGGGUGUGUAGGCGGUUGUUUAGGUUUGGUGUGAAAUCUCCCGGCUCAACUGGGAGGGUGCGCCGAAUACUGAAUGACUUGGAGUGCGGGAGAGGAGAGUGGAAUUCCUGGUGUAGCGGUGAAAUGCGUAGAUAUCAGGAGGAACACCGGUGGUGUAGACGGCUCUCUGGACCGUAACUGACGCUGAGACACGAAAGCGUGGGUAGCAAACAGG
rnacentral:rRNA from 1 species